rnacentral:rRNA from 1 species
GAUGAACGCUGGCGGCGUGCUUAACACAUGCAAGUCGAACGAAGCAAUCUAACGGAAGUUUUCGGAUGGAAGCUGGAUUGACUGAGUGGCGGACGGGUGAGUAACGCGUGGGUAACCUGCCUCACACCGGGGGACAACAGUUAGAAAUGACUGCUAAUACCGCAUAAGCGCACAGGACCGCAUGGUCUAGUGUGAAAAACUCCGGUGGUGUGAGAGGGACCCGCGUUUGAUUAGCUAGUUGGUGGGGUAACGGCCUACCAAGGCGACGAUCAAUAGCCGACCUGAGAGGGUGACCGGCCACAUUGGGACUGAGACACGGCCCAAACUCCUACGGGAGGCAGCAGUGGGGAAUAUUGCACAAUGGGGGAAACCCUGAUGCAGCGACGCCGCGUGAGUGAAGAAGUAUUUCGGUAUGUAAAGCUCUAUCAGCAGGGAAGAAAAUGACGGUACCUGACUAAGAAGCCCCGGCUAACUACGUGCCAGCCGCCGCCGUAA